UACGUAGGGGGCAAGCGUUGUCCGGAUUUAUUGGGCGUAAAGAGCGUGUAGGCGGCCAGAUAGGUCCGUUGUGAAAACUGGAGGCUUAACCUCCAGCUGUCGAUGGAAACCAUCUGGCUAGAGUCCGGAAGAGGAGAGUGGAAUUCCUGGUGUAGCGGUGAAAUGCGUAGAGAUCAGGAGGAACACCCGUGGCGAAGGCGGCGCCCUGGUCCGUUACUGACGCUGAGACGCGAAAGCGCGGGGAGCGAACGGG
rnacentral:rRNA from 1 species